AUGUGUUAUUAUAAUAGAAAUAUAGAUCUAACCUAUGGCAUUCAUCAUUUACUGCAAAGACUACUUGGGUAUCUAAUCCUGUUUGUUCUCUGUGCCUUCGUCCUUCAACGUCAGUUUUUACAUAGAGGGCUGCCUUCGCCUUUACAGAGUCCCUUUGGUAUCACGAAAUUUCAUCUCUCCUCCUCAAGUACUGCCCUCUUACAUAAAACUCUAGUCUUAUACUAA
rnacentral:rRNA from 3 species